GGAACUGUCAACUGCAGCAGACGCAGAUACGGUGGGUUUUCCUUGCCUUGAAAGCCCGCCCAAAGCUCCUCGUAUUCAUCCACCAACAGACAGAAACAAAGAAGCAGCAUGGAACUCAUUCAAGAAAAAAUCAAACUCCCAAUGUGUGAAACAGGAACAAAUUGCACGAACGGUAAACAGCAAGUGGACUACACAUAGAAUAUCAAACAUCAAGCCAGGAGUCCAGCACUUGGACAUAUUCCUUGAAGUGCCAUCAUAGAUCUGCUCCCACCAACCUCAUCACCUCCACUGCCACCAUUGUUUGGAUCGAACUAAUGGAAUCAAUUGUCUGUCAAUAAAAAGAUAAUCAAUCCUGGAAUACGUAUGAUGGACAUGGGGAAGAAAACGAAUACUCCUUACCUAUUUGAUGUAACAAACGCCAGAUAUCAACAAUAUCACAUUUCAUUAGAAAAGAUUGAAUAAACAA